GUGGGGAAUAUUGGACAAUGGGCGCAAGCCUGAUCCAGCCAUGCCGCGUGUGUGAAGAAGGCCUUCGGGUUGUAAAGCACUUUUGUCCGGGAAGAAAUCUUCCAGGUUAAUACCCUGGGAGGCUGACGGUACCGGAAGAAUAAGCACCGGCUAACUUCGUGCCAGCAGCCGCGGUAAUACGAAGGGUGCAAGCGUUACUCGGAAUUACUGGGCGUAAAGCGUGCGUAGGUGGUUCGUUACGUCUGCCGUGAAAGCCCCGGGCUCAACCUGGGAAUGGGGGUGGCUACUGGCGGGCUAGAGUGCGGUAGAGGGUGGUGGAAUUCCCGGUGUAGCAGUGAAAUGCGUAGAGAUCGGGAGGAACAUCUGUGGCGAAGGCGGCCACCUGGACCAGCACUGACACUGAGGCACGAAAGCGUGGGGAGCAAACAGGAUUAGAUACCCGAGUAGUCC
rnacentral:rRNA from 1 species